rnacentral:rRNA from 1 species
CUCAGGAUGAACGCUAGCGGCAGGCUUAACACAUGCAAGUCGAGGGGCAGCGGGAUGUAGCAAUACAUUGCCGGCGACCGGCGGAUGGGUGCGUAACGCGUAUGCAACCUACCUUAUACAGGGGAAUAACCUUUCGAAAGGGAGACUAACACCCCAUAGUAUUGAUUUAAGACAUCUUAGAUUAAUUAAAUAUUUAUAGGUAUAAGAUGGGCAUGCGUAUGAUUAGCUAGUUGGUAAGGUAACGGCUUACCAAGGCGACGAUCAUUAGGGGUUCUGAGAGGAAGGUCCCCCACACUGGUACUGAGACACGGACCAGACUCCUACGGGAGGCAGCAGUGAGGAAUAUUGGUCAAUGGGCGCAAGCCUGAACCAGCCAUGCCGCGUGCAGGGAAAGACGGCCUUAUGGGUUGUAAACUGCUUUUACAUAAGACUAACCGUAUAUUUGCGAAUAUACCUGAAUGUAUUAUGAGAAUAAGGAUCGGCUAACUCCGUGCCAGCCGCUGC